CAUUUUGUCAGAGGGGAGUAACUUAAGAAUCAUGAUCGUAUAAAUGAUUCGACACUUUAUCGUCAUUACGAAGAUAUCUUCCGGUAAAGUGGGCAAUUUAAAUUGCUUAGUGAGACCUUUGCUAUUUAU
rnacentral:sRNA from 1 species